rnacentral:misc_RNA from 1 species
CAAAAAAUGUUAUUUGAGGCUUUGUUCUGCAGUCGUCAGACAGCAGAACGAGUCCCAUGUUACAUACACGCUUGUGUUGUUUGACAGAGUCAGUUACGAUUUAAGCAUGCA